ensembl:misc_RNA 7SK 7SK RNA
AGAUGUGAGGGCGAUCUGUCUGAGACAUCUGUCACCCCAUUGAUUGCUAGGGUUGAUUCGGCUGAUCUGACUGGCUAGGCGGGUGUCCCCUUCCUCCCUCACCGCUCCAUGUGCGCACACUCAGUCGAAGAGGACGGCCAAUAGAGACGGAUGGGUCUUUGGUAGAGGGUGUACAAGUAACUGUGUUCCCCUGCUAGGACCUCUAAACAAGCUCUCAAGUUUCGUUUCUUGCAAAUGUAAUUAGUAAUUUAGUGAGGGGGUAAGGUGAGAGGUGUAAUUAAGGUGUAAUUACUAAAUUACAUUUAGUAAUUUAGU